rnacentral:sRNA from 1 species
AUAAGAAAACGGGUCCGCCAGGGCUGCCAUACAGCCCGGCCAAAGUGAGACCCUACGAGGCAUCGCGGUCUAAGUCUUGGGAGGAAGCAACCCUGGCGCACCGUUUUCGGUAGCUGCCACAAUGGUCGUCAGCUGUCAGGAGCCGACGGGCAUCGGUAAAGGGUUGAGACGCGCAACUGAAAAAAGCAAGGCGGAAACGCCUUGCUUUUUUU